AUUGAACGCUGGCGGCAGGCCUAACACAUGCAAGUCGAACGAGUGGCGGACGGGUGAGUAAUGUCUGGGAAACUGCCCGAUGGAGGGGGAUAACUACUGGAAACGGUAGCUAAUACCGCAUACCAUCGGAUGUGCCCAGAUGGGAUUAGCUAGUAGGUGGGGGAACGGCUCACCUAGGGUACGAUCCCUAGCUGGUCUGAGAGGAUGACCAGCCAAACUGGAACGGAGACACGGUCCAGAUUCCUACGGGAGGCAGCAGUGGGGAAUAUUGCCCAAGGGGCGAAAGCCUGCGGAAGCAAUGCCGGGUGGAUGAAGAAGGCCUUCGGGUUGUAAAGUACUUUUAGCGAGGAGGCGUUACUCGCAGAAGAAGCACCGGCUAACUCCGUGCCAGCAGCCGCGGUAAUAC
rnacentral:rRNA from 1 species